rnacentral:rRNA from 1 species
GACGAACGCUGGCGGCGUGCUUAACACAUGCAAGUCGAACGGAAAGGCCCUGCUUGCAGGGUACUCGAGUGGCGAACGGGUGAGUAACACGUGGGUGAUCUGCCCUGCACUUCGGGAUAAGCCUGGGAAACUGGGUCUAAUACCGGAUAGGAGCCAUUUUUAGUGUGAUGGUUGGAAAGUUUUUUCGGUGUAGGAUGAGCUCGCGGCCUAUCAGCUUAUUGGUGGGGUAAUGGCCUACCAAGGCGGCGACGGGUAGCCGGCCUGAGAGGGUGGACGGCCACAUUGGGACUGAGAUACGGCCCAGACUCCUACGGGAGGCAGCAGUGGGGAAUAUUGCACAAUGGGCGCAAGCCUGAUGCAGCGACGCCGCGUGGGGGAUGACGGCCUUCGGGUUGUAAACUCCGUUCGCUAGGGACGAAGCUUUUUGUGACGGUACCUAGAUAAGAAGCACCGGCUAACUACGUG